UGGCCGCCUCCUUUCUCCUGUGCGGCCGCACUCCACACCCUUCUCUCUCUCUCGUCCCUCCCCACCCCCUCAGAUCCACCUCCACCACUGGAGCCGCGCGUGAGCCGGCGUCCUCCUCCACCGCCGGCUCUCUCUCUCUCCCCACCCCCUCAGAUCCCCCAAUGUCCCCCGCGCAGCAGGCGCCGCCGCUUGUCGCCGGCUUCCUCACGCCGGCACCGGUGCCAGCGCUCGUUCGUGAGCUGGCGUCGACGCCGCCGCCCGUGCCUGACGACGGCCUGUGGUGGCAGCUGUGCGUGGAGGACGGAUCCGGCGACGGCCUCCUCACCCUCAAGGACUCGCUCAUCGAUGGAUCUGCGUCAAUCUACAUCUCCUACCUCGGGUUCUGCAUCCGACAUCUCCGGCGGCUCCCCGCUUCUCUGUACAAGAUCCAUGCCCUGCAUCCUCGUCCCCCUCUUCCCACCGUCAUCUCCACUCUUCGCAAUCCUCUCCUCUGUCUGCUUCUCGUCGAUUUCGUGCAGACCCUAAUCCCCUUCCUCUUUCUUGUUUUUUGAUUUGUUCUUAGGGUUAGGGUACUGAACCAUGCUCGCGUGCGCAGCUGCAGGAUCUCGAUGAGAUGAAGCGCUACCUCAAGGAGAUGGAGGAGCCCGCCACGCUCCGCGAGAUGCAGGCCAUGGUCGCCUAGGAGAUGCAAGUGGCUGCUGGUGAGGGGUUUCUGCUACCUGUAGAGCCGAAAGUAUUAGCGAGUUACAGGAGUCGGUGCUGAUUACACUGCUGAGGUAAGUAGCCUUUUUGGUGCUCUUAUCCUUGUACAGUUUUUUAAAGUAGUAACAUUGUAUCUUGAGAUAUUAGUUCUUUUCAUUUUCAUUAGCACUGGUUGUACUGCAGCUUUGUUAUGGAGUAGAACAUUCUAAAUUUACCUUUGUACUGCAGCUAUUUGGGAGAGAAGUACAAAGAUCAAGAACAAGUGCAUCGAAUUUGUUUGAGUGCCUCUACAGGAAAAAGAGAAAUGAUGCACGCUAUGUACAUAUUGCCAUUGCAUAUUAGCUUUCAAAUAUAGCUUAUAGCAAUUCUGGAUGAAUUUUUUUAUGUGAUUUAAUGUUGUAUGUGAUUAAAUGCUCGAUCAAAAUUUAUUUAUGUGAUGAGAUGUUAAUUUCUUGUUGAUA